rnacentral:lncRNA from 1 species
AGGCUGGGCUCGGGGCUGUCCCAGGAGCCCUGAGCCCGCGGCCGCUCCGUCCGUCCGUCUGUCUGUCUGUCUGUCUGUGAGUCCAUCUGUGCGGACACAAUGGUCACACGGUGCCUGCAGAGCCUCGGGGGAUAGGAUCUGAUAGUUCAGGGGGGGAAAGCAGAGCCACAGAACAAAGCAAAGCCCAGCAAAGCUGAGUCUUUGAUUCCAACCCUUUUUCCCCCUCUCUGAGCUGUUCUCUCACUUGCACUUCCCCCAGAUUUCAGGUUGGUCUCUCGCAGACGGAGCCAGGUUGAUCCAAGCUCAAGGAUAUUGCUUUCCCUGCACAGAUGGAAAGAUAUUCUCAAAAUCCCUUCCUGGCACACAUUCCCCCAUGGCACAGGCUGGGCUUCCCAAAACGUCAAGCAGAAUAAAGUGGGAUAUCUGUGAGAGCAGAAACUGCUGCCCCAGGCUGUGCAGACCCUCAUGGACACACGCUUAAGGAAAUGGCCCAGCCAGGGCAGGUUGUUGCCUUUUGGGGAGUCACCACCUCUCAUCCCUGCUGGGAAAUGAGGCUGCUCCAACUUUUCAAGAUUCUAAGUGUGAAGUGAGUGCUCCUCUCACAGCUGCUGUCCUCUCCGGAGGGAGCUUGAAGGCCACAGUCACAAAAUCAGCAAACUGGGGCAAAAGACUCUGCCAGACACACAGGCAAAGGAAACAGAUGCAAGGGGAUCUCUGUAACAGCCUCACUUUGCUACCAAACACUCCAAAACCUCGUGAGGACAAACCCAGCAGGAGUGUGAAACUUCUUCUCCGCCUCUUGGGGACUUGAAAAAAAGCCACUUGGUUGUCCUGAAGUUUCCAGACUCACAAGUCACAGCCAGGGGAGAAAGUGCCAGACAGGAGCUGCUCCCUGGGGUGUUGGGUCAGAGCUGGGGGCACAGAAAGUCCAGUGGGCAAUGGGGAGCACCCACAUGGGAAGCAGCCAAGCUCCAGUCCUGUCCCCAUGGCUGUUGUGGACUAGACCUCAGAUUUAGUAGUAGGAAGAGAUUUGAUGCUCCCAAAAAUCCUUGACAGGCACACAGAGGCAUUUCAGGCAGGGAAAUGCUCUCGUGGUUUGCCUCCCUUUGAAGUAAAAGCCAUGGA